CUGGCGGCGUGCUUAACACAUGCAAGUCGAACGGAAAGGCCCAAGCUUGCUUGGGUACUCGAGUGGCGAACGGGUGAGUAACACGUGGGUGAUCUGCCCUGCACUUCGGGAUAAGCCUGGGAAACUGGGUCUAAUACCGGAUAGGACCACUUCGUAGUUGUUGUGGUGGAAAGUUUUUUCGGUGUGGGAUGAGCUCGCGGCCUAUCAGCUUGUUGGUGGGGUAAUGGCCUACCAAGGCGUCGACGGGUAGCCGGCCUGAGAGGGUGUACGGCCACAUUGGGACUGAGAUACGGCCCAGACUCCUACGGGAGGCAGCAGUGGGGAAUAUUGCACAAUGGGCGGAAGCCUGAUGCAGCGACGCCGCGUGGGGGAUGACGGCCUUCGGGUUGUAAACUCCUUUCGCCAAAGACGAAUUUUGACGGUAUUUGGAGAAGAAGCACCGGCUAACUACGUGCCAGCAGCCGCGGUAAUACGUAGGGUGCGAGCGUUGUCCGGAAUUACUGGGCGUAAAGAGCUCGUAGGUGGUUUGUCGCGUCGUUUGUGGAAGUCCACGGCUUAACUGUGGGACUGCAGGCGAUACGGGCAUAACUUGAGUGCUGUAGGGGAGACUGGAAUUCCUGGUGUAGCGGUGAAAUGCGCAGAUAUCAGGAGGAACACCGAUGGCGAAGGCAGGUCUCUGGGCAGUAACUGACGCUGAGGAGCGAAAGCAUGGGGAGCGAACAGGAUUAGAUACC
rnacentral:rRNA from 1 species